rnacentral:tRNA from 2 species
GGAGAGGUGCCAGAGUGGCCGAAUGGGACGGUCUCGAAAACCGUUGUCCUGAGUAAUCGGGACCGAGGGUUCGAAUCCCUCCCUCUCCG